UACGUAGGGGGCAAGCGUUGUCCGGAAUCAUUGGGCGUAAAGAGCGUGUAGGCGGCCCGAUAAGUCCGCUGUGAAAGUCCAGGGCUCAACCCUGGGAUGCCGGUGGAUACUGUCGGGCUCGAGUCCGGAAGAGGCGAGUGGAAUUCCUGGUGUAGCGGUGAAAUGCGCAGAUAUCAGGAGGAACACCCGUGGCGAAAGCGGCUCUCUGGGACGGUACUGACGCUGAGACGCGAAAGCGUGGGGAGCAAACAGG
rnacentral:rRNA from 1 species